UGUUGAGAGGACUGUCUGGGUUAGGUUCUGGAGUAUGUCUAGGCAUAUAUUGCCAUACUGAUCGACGUUUGGGUGAAAGCAAUUUGUCUCAAAUUUGACUUGCGGUGGUUUAAAGGGGUAGUCCAGAGGAAAAUGCAAAGAAAGUUUAUAUGACAAACCCUCAUACACGGUUCCCUUUCCACCCUCAAUUGUGCCAAUCCAUGUGAAAAUGCACUCGCCUUCAGGAAAUGCUGAUACACCAAGAUCUCCUCCACUCAUCAUGAGAGACAUCAAUUCCUUCUGUAACCUUUGACAAACGGAGGAAGUAUCAACCGGGUUAGGAGGAGCAGCGGGCUGCUUCGAUGGAGUAGCAGGCGCAUAGCGGUGAUAUUGAUGCUGAUGCUGAGACGAGUUAUCGACCGUAGGAUUUGGCCUCAUCUCCAUGAUUACAAAAUAAGAACUAAUCUACCCUACUGAUCCAAAUCAACGACCAAUACGCGAGCGAUCAAUCAAUCAAUGAAUUUUUUUUGUUGUUGUUGAAUGAUUCACUGCACGGGUAUAGAAUCAGGAAUAGACGAAUUAUGGGGAGAUAAUUUUUCGUUUCUGUUUCAGGUGGUGGCGAUUCUGGUGGCUGUGGUAGU
rnacentral:misc_RNA from 1 species